rnacentral:rRNA from 1 species
UACGUAGGGUGCAAGCGUUAUCCGGGGUUAUGGGGCGUAAAGCGUCCGUAGGUGGCAUUUCAAGUCUGCCGUUAAAGCCCGAAGCUUAACUUUGGAAAAGCGGUGGAAACUGAGAAGCUAGAGUGCGGUAGGGGUAGAGGGAAUUCCCAGUGUAGCGGUGAAAUGCGUAGAGAUUGGGAAGAACACCGGUGGCGAAAGCGCUCUACUGGGCCGCAACUGACACUGAUGGACGAAAUCUAGGGGAGCGAAAUGG